CCUACGGGGGGCAGCAGUGAGGAAUAUUGGUCAAUGGACGGAAGUCUGAACCAGCCAUGCCGCGUGCAGGAAGACGGCUCUAUGAGUUGUAAACUGCUUUUGUACAAGGGUAAACCUGAAUACGUGUAUUCAGCUGAAAGUACUGUACGAAUAAGGAUCGGCUAACUCCGUGCCAGCAGCCGCGGUAAUACGGAGGAUCCAAGCGUUAUCCGGAUUCAUUGGGUUUAAAGGGUGCGUAGGCGGAUUGAUAAGUUAGAGGUGAAAUGUUCGAGCUCAACUCUGGAACUGCCUCUAAUACUGUUGAUCUAGAGAAUAGAUGCGGUAGGCGGAAUGUAUGGUGUAGCGGUGAAAUGCAUAGAUAUCACGCAGAACUCCGAUUGCGAAGGCAGCAUACCGGCGCUCAACUGACGCUCAUGCACGAAAGUGUGGGUAUCGAACAGGAUUAGAUACCCGAGUAGUC
rnacentral:rRNA from 1 species